UACGGAGGGUCCAAGCGUUGUCCGGAAUUAUUGGGUUUAAAGGGUGCGUAGGCGGUCUUUUAAGUCAGAGGUGAAAUCCUGCAGCUUAACUGCAGAACUGCCUUUGAUACUGGAAGACUUGAGUACACUAGAGGUAGGCGGAAUUUAUGAUGUAGCGGUGAAAUGCAUAGAUAUCAUAAAGAACACCGAUAGCGAAGGCAGCUUACUGGAGUGUAACUGACGCUGAGGCACGAAAGUGUGGGUAGCGAACAGG
rnacentral:rRNA from 1 species